UACGUAGGCAGCGAGCGUUGUUCGGAGUUACUGGGCGUAAAGGGUGUGUAGGCGGUUGUUUAAGUUUGGUGUGAAAUCUCCCGGCUCAACUGGGAGGGUGCGCCGAAUACUGAAUGACUUGGAGUGCGGGAGAGGAGAGUGGAAUUCCUGGUGUGGCGGUGAAAUGCGUAGAUAUCAGGAGGAACACCGGUGGUGUAGACGGCUCACUGGACCACAACUGACGCUGAGGCGCGAAAGCUAGGGGAGCAAACAGG
rnacentral:rRNA from 1 species